rnacentral:rRNA from 1 species
UACGGAGGGUGCGAGCGUUGUCCGGAAUCACUGGGCGUAAAGGGCGCGUAGGUGGCGACGCAAGUCAACGGUGAAAGCUCGACGCUCAACGUCGAGUCGGCCGUCGAUACUGCAUCGCUGGAGCACUGUAGAGGCAGAGGGAAUUUCCGGUGGAGCGGUGAAAUGCGUAGAGAUCGGAAAGAACACCAACGGCGAAAGCACUCUGCUGGGCCGACACUGACACUGAGAGACGAAAGCUAGGGGAGCGAAUGGG